CCUACGGGAGGCAGCAGUGGGGAAUAUUGCACAAUGGGGGGAACCCUGAUGCAGCAAUGCCGCGUGGGUGAAGAAGUACCCCGGUAUGUAAAGCCCUUUCAGCAGGGAAGAAAAUGACGGUACCUGACUAAGAAGCCCCGGCUAACUACGUGCCAGCAGCCGCGGUAAUACGUAGGGGGCGAGCGUUAUCCGGAUUUACUGGGUGUAAAGGGAGCGCAGGCGGCGUGGCAAGUCAGAUGUGAAAACCCGGGGCCCAACCCCGGGACUGCAUUUGAAACUGCCAUGCUGGAGUGCCGGAGAGGCAAGUGGAAUUCCUAGUGUAGCGGUGAAAUGCGUAGAUAUUAGGAGGAACACCAGUGGCGGAGGCGGCUUGCUGGACGGUAACUGACGCUGAGGCUCGAAAGCGUGGGGAGCAAACAGGAUUAGAUACCCCAGUAGU
rnacentral:rRNA from 1 species